UUUAAAUUUUGUUGACAUACAUAUAUAUGUACAUAUAAUCUCUUUUCACAUUUUGGUAGUAUUGAAGAUGAUCAAGCAAAGAAGACUUUGCUUGCUAUUGUUCGUGAAAGGUGGCCCGUUGGACAUUACACGUUCACCGACAUUGUUGAAUAUGAUGAUGAAUGGCUAAAACACGUAGUCGAGGAAUUUAAUUUAUAUUUCAAGCAACAAAAGGGACAAAGCCGGUCCGAAGCAAAAAAUAUAAUUGAGAAGCAUAUCAAGAACACAAUAAAGAGGACGUUGAAUGAGCUCAAGACAAAUAUUGAGCAAAAAUCAAAGGAAAGCGGAAAAUCAAAAUUGAGUUUAAGACCUGGAUAUUGGUCUGAACUUUUUUGGAAGGAUUUAUUAAAUUAUUGGGAAAAGAAUGAGGGGCACUUGCAUAGGUCAUCCGUUGGAUCUACGAACCGCAAGAACGUCGAGCGGUUGCAUAGUGCCGGUGCCCGGUCUUUUAAUAAAGUGAAGGAGG